rnacentral:rRNA from 1 species
UACGAAGGGGGCUAGCGUUGUUCGGAAUCACUGGGCGUAAAGCGCACGUAGGCGGAUCUUUAAGUCAGGGGUGAAAUCCCGAGGCUCAACCUCGGAACUGCCUUUGAUACUGGGGAUCUCGAGUCCGGGAGAGGUGAGUGGAACUGCGAGUGUAGAGGUGAAAUUCGUAGAUAUUCGCAAGAACACCAGUGGCGAAGGCGGCUCACUGGCCCGGAACUGACGCUGAGGUGCGAAAGUAUGGGGAGCAAACAGG